UACAGAGGGUGCAAGCGUUGUUCGGAAUUACUGGGCGUAAAGCGCGUGUAGGUGGCGAUGUAAGUCGGGUGUGAAAUCCCUUGGCUUAACCAAGGAAGUGCAUUCGAUACUGUGUCGCUUGAGUGUUGGAGGGGGGUGGCGGAAUUCCCGGUGUAGAGGUGAAAUUCGUAGAUAUCGGGAGGAACACCUGUGGCGAAGGCGGCCACCUGGACAACUACUGACACUGAGACGCGAAAGCGUGGGUAGCAAACAGG
rnacentral:rRNA from 1 species